AUGGCAUGCGAAUCUCGAAAGCCUAUCUCAGUUCGGAUUGGAGGCUGAAACCCGCCUCCAUGAAGUUGGAUUCGCUAGUAAUCGCGCAUCAGCCAUGGCGCGGUGAAUACGUUCCCGGGCCUUGUACACACCGCCCGUCAAGCCAUGGGAGCCGGGGGUGCCUGAAGUUCGUUACCGCAAGGAUCGACCUAGGGCAAAACUGGUGACUGGGGCUAAGUCGUAACAAGGUAGC
rnacentral:rRNA from 1 species